rnacentral:rRNA from 1 species
GACGAACGCUGGCGGCGUGCCUAAUACAUGCAAGUUGAGCGCUGAAGGUUGGUACUUGUACCAACUGGAUGAGCAGCGAACGGGUGAGUAACGCGUGGGGAAUCUGCCUUUGAGCGGGGGACAACAUUUGGAAACGAAUGCUAAUACCGCAUAAAAACUUUAAACACAAGUUUUAAGUUUGAAAGAUGCAAUUGCAUCACUCAAAGAUGAUCCCGCGUUGUAUUAGCUAGUUGGUGAGGUAAAGGCUCACCAAGGCGAUGAUACAUAGCCGACCUGAGAGGGUGAUCGGCCACAAUGGGACUGAGACACGGCCCAAACUCCUGCGGGAGGCAGCAGUAGGGAAUCUUCGGCAAUGGACGAAAGUCUGACCGAGCAACGCCGCGUGAGUGAAGAGGGUUUUCGGAUCGUAAAACUCUGUUGGUAGAGAAGAACGUUGGUGAGAGUGGAAAGCUCAUCAAGUGACGGUAACUACCCAGAAAGGGACGGCUAACUACGUG